rnacentral:rRNA from 1 species
CUAUCACUUGAUCUUUGGGAGUGAGGGCAUGGGUGCUAAGGUCCAUGUCCGAAAGAGGAACAACUCAGACCACCAGCUAAGGUCCCGAAAUAAGGGCUAAGUUGAAUAAACGAAGUAAAACUGCAAAGACAGCUAGGAUGUUGGCUUGGAAGCAGCCAUUCAUUUAAAGAGUGCGUAACAGCUCACUAGUCGAGGAGUUUUGCAUGGAUAAUAAUCGGGCAUAAGCCCUUUACCGAAGCUGUGGAUGUCGUAAGACAUGGUAGGGGAGCAUUCCGGCGGCGACGAAGGCCGUCCUCGAGGACGACUGGAGCUUUCGGAAAAGCAAAUGUAGGUAUAAGUAACGAUAAAGGGGGCGUGAAACCCCCUCGCCAUAAGACUAAGGAUUCCUGAUCAACGCUAAUCGGAUCAGGGUAAGUCGGGCCCUAAGGCGCAGCCGAACGGCGUAGCCGAUGGAAGAAACGGUAAAGAUUCCGUUACUGGAUAUAGGAGCGAUGUGGAGACGGAGAAGUGACACACCCGCCUGCCGACGGAAGCGCAGGUUAAAGGAAGUAGGUAAACGCCGGGUAGGCAAAUCCGCCUGGCGUGCCGAAACUGACAGUAUCGAGAGCCCCCGGGCAAUCGAAUAGCGGUGGUAAUCAGGCUCCCAAGAAAAUCCGCUAAGCAUAUUCUAUAUCCACCCGUACCCCAAACGGACACACGUAGUCGGGUAGAAUAUACCAAGGCGCUCGAAAGACUCACGGUUAAGGAACUAGGCAAAUUGACCCUGUAACCUCGGGAAAAAGGGUCCCCAGUAAGAUGGGGCGCAGAGAAUAGGUCCAGGCAACUGUUUAACAAAAACACAGGGCUGUGCGAAAUUUCAAGAUGAAGUAUACAGCCUGACACCUGCCCGGUGCCGGAAGGUUAAGAGGAGAGCUAAUCGCAAGAGAAGGCUUGAAUUGAAGCCCCGGUAAACGGCGGCCGUAACUAUAACGGUCCUAAGGUAGCGAAAUUCCUUGUCGGGUAAGUUCCGACCUGCACGAAUGGUGUAAUGAUCUGGACACUGUCUCAACCGUGACUUCGGUGAAAUUGUAGUAUCGGUGAAGAUGCCGAUUACCCGCAACGGGACGAAAAGACCCCGUGAACCUUUACUGCAACUUAGCAUUGCGUUUGGGCAUUUGAUGUGUAGGAUAGUCCGGAGGCUACGAGUCGGCGACGCCAGUCGUCGAGGAGCCGCUGUUGAAAUACGGACCUUCGAAUGUUUGAGCGCUAACUCGCAGGAGCGAGGACACUGUUUGGUGGGUAGUUUGACUGGGGUGGUCGCC